CGCUCGUCUUCGGAUGAGAGGUGAUGAGCCUCUGCCUUUCAGUUCUCUUGGAACAAGACAGAAGAUAGUCAAUCUUACUGUCGCGCAUACCUUAAGCGGGUCUGCCGCCUUCGUUUCUCUUUCUUCAGCGAAUGACUAACCUCCCUUUGGCUCUGCCUGUAAGGCGUGCCUUGCCGGUGCAAUAUGCCAGCAGGGUUCGGUUUAGGGCUUGUAGCUCAGUUGGUUAGAGCGCGCGCUUGAUAAGCGUGAAGUCGGAGGUUCAAGUCCUCCCAGGCCCACCACUUCGCAAUCCGCAAGGGUUGUCGUUUGUCUCCUCGACAAAGGUAUCAGGGGCCGUAGCUCAGCUGGGAGAGCGCCUGCUUUGCAAGCAGGAUGUCGUCGGUUCGAUCCCGUCCGGCUCCACCAUUACCUUGGUGUAGAGUAGAGAUGAUCGCCGUUGGUCUAGUCGUUCGUAUAAAGGUUUGUGGUGAGCUUCUUGGCUCGCCGCUUGUUCUGUUUGACAUCGUAAAGAGAAGAUUUGUUCGAACUUCAUGGUCCGUAAGGUCCGUGAUUUGUCGCAAGGGACGCUCAAUCCCUUGCAUAUGAUGGGUUUGCCUAACCGCGCCCUCGAACCGAUCUCGAGAAGCUGGUCUUUUUGUGCCAAUGACAUCGGAUCAAAUUCCGCACAGGAUUUGGUCCAGGCGACAAUCCUUCGGAUUGCGCGGACGCUAAUCCCGCUAGGGUUUGGCUGAAACGACAAUCCUUUCGGAUUGCGCGGAUGGGCAUUGGCAAUGAGAACGAUCAAGUGUCUUAAGGGCAAUUGGUGGAUGCCUUGGCAUGCACAGGCGAUGAAGGACGUGAUACGCUGCGAUAAGCUACGGGAGGUG
rnacentral:misc_RNA from 1 species